rnacentral:rRNA from 1 species
CAUAGGAAUCUGCCUAGUAGUGGGGGACAACCUGGUGAAAACCAGGCUAAUACCGCAUACGACCUACGGGUGAAAGAGGGGGAUCUUCGGACCUCUUGCUAUUAGAUGAGCCUAUGUCUGAUUAGCUUGUUGGUGAGGUAAUGGCUCACCAAGGCGACGAUCAGUAGCUGGUCUGAGAGGAUGAUCAGCCACACUGGGACUGAGACACGGCCCAG